GACGAACGCUGGCGGCGUGCUUAACACAUGCAAGUCGAACGGAAGGGCCCUGCUUUUGUGGGGUGCUCGAGUGGCGAACGGGUGAGUAACACGUGAGUAACCUGCCCUUGACUUUGGGAUAACUUCAGGAAACUGGGGCUAAUACCGGAUAGGAGCUCCUGCUGCAUGGUGGGGGUUGGAAGGUUUCGGCGGUUGGGGAUGGACUCGCGGCUUAUCAGCUUGUUGGUGGGGUAGUGGCUUACCAAGGCUUUGACGGGUAGCCGGCCUGAGAGGGUGACCGGCCACAUUGGGACUGAGAUACGGCCCAGACUCCUACGGGAGGCAGCAGUGGGGAAUAUUGCACAAUGGGCGGAAGCCUGAUGCAGCAACGCCGCGUGCGGGAUGACGGCCUUCGGGUUGUAAACCGCUUUCGCCUGUGACGAAGCGUGAGUGACGGUAAUGGGUAAAGAAGCACCGGCUAACUACGUG
rnacentral:rRNA from 1 species